GUGUAUCAAACUACAUGAUUCUUACAUCCCACAGCCGCAAGGUAGGAAAUAAACUUUUUGUUUUUGUGUUUCUUCACGGGUUUGCUAGAAAAUUGUUUCAUUUUUUUUCGUGAUCAAAUGCUCUAUUUUUUUCUUUUUCUUUUUUCCAAAUCGGCAUAAAACUGAAGAUUUUCCUUCUGGUUGAACAAUGGAUCAACAAUCCGUAUGGCAUAUGAGGCUCCAACUCGUGCUUUAAAUCGAUUGCAAGUGGUAAUGACGACAGAGAGAAAUAGGGAGGGAUGGCAGCUAGGGUUUGAGAUCAACUGGCCUAGUUGCCAUCCCAUCUUCAGCAACAAUUUUACACGUAUUCAAAAGCAGCAAAUAGGGGCGUAUCUUAGAAUUUGUAUCAAAAUUACCAUCAUUACAGGCAUCACUCUAUAUUAAUCUAAACAAACCAAUAGACUCUGUGACUGGAAGAAUUAUUUCAUCAGGAAUAGGCCCAGGAAUAGCUGAUGGCCUGCAAUACACAACAAACAUAUCACAAACAGACUAGCAAGACAUUUCAUGCUGAUGUAUUUAGGAAGUAGAACUGUGUGUGCGUGUCCAACAGUGACUUAAAACUCUCAAAAGAGAAGGCAUUACAUAAGAGACUCAUAUGGUGAGUGCAUAUUGGUUGUGCAUAUGUUGAUCCAUACUUAUUUUUCAUUUUGUUUUGCUUGUAGUCUAGUUUUUUUUUUUUUUUUAAUUGGCACCGAGUGUCCAAGAAGAAAGUCCCAACUAAUCCCCGAGGUGAUUGUAGUCUAGCUAAUGUUCUUUUUAGUUUCUCAGUUGAAGCUUUAAUUUAUAUGUUUUUAUGGUGUAGAAUGCUAAAUGGUCCAUCUGGUUUGCCUUUUGAACAGAUUGAUCCCUAUACUUUCAUAUCAAUAUUUUUAAAUUUUUUAUUA